ACCUUCUCUUACACUCCAUUCAUUACCAUUUUCCAACACCAAAAACCAUCAACUCUUCUACUCUCUCUCUCUCUCCAAAAUCGUGUAACCCAAACACCCCUCACACCAACUUCAUUUCAAUUUUCAAAUACAAGAAUUCAUGCACUUAUGGAAGUCUAUGGAUGAAACAAUCUUCAUGGGUGUUUAGAAAAGCUAGAUGGAGCCUUUGGGUGGAGCUUGAAGCUUUGGAUCAACAAGAUAUCUUAUCAUCAUCUUUGUUUCUUUGCAAAAAUUGUCGAGAAACGAACCGCGAACAAGGAAUCGAAUAGAGAUUUGCAUGGAACGCAAAUCUGAGAUUAGUGGACGGCUUUGGAAAAAUAUGUUCAAGUGGUUAUCAAGAACGCAAGCUUUUGUGAUGUCAUCUGAUUUCGGUUGUUAUGUUUUGAACUUUGAAUAAUGUGGUUAAAGUUGUUGUUGUUUCAAGUUUCAAACAAGACAUAUGUAAUGUAAAUUAUGAUUUCGAAUCAAAUGUAUGGAUGAACAUCUUUUAUGUUU